rnacentral:rRNA from 1 species
AGAGUUUGAUCCUGGCUCAGAACGAACGUUGGCGAGAUGUCUUAAGCAUGCAAGUCGAGCGGCAGCACUUCGGGUGGCGAGCGGCGAACUGGUGAGUAACGCGUAGGUAAUCUACCUUUUAGACUGGGAUAGCCACUGGAAACAGUGAUUAAUACCGGAUAUGACACUUGUGUUGAAAGCAGCGUUUGCUGCACUAAAAGAUGAGCUUGCGUCCCAUUAGCUAGUUGGUGAGAUAAUAGCUCACCAAGGCGACAAUGGGUAGCCGGCCUGAGAGGGUGAUCGGCCACAUCGGGACUGAGAUACGGCCCGGACUCCUACGGGAGGCAGCAGCUAAGAAUAUUCCGCAAUGGACGAAAGUCUGACGGAGCAAUUUCGCGUGAGGGAAGAAGGCUCUUGGGUUGUAAACCUCUUUCAGCAGGGAAGAAUAAGGUAGUCAGGAAAUGGGCUAUUGAUGACGGUACCUGCAUAAGAAGCACCGACUAAUUACGUGCCAGCAGUCGCGGUAAUACGUAAGGUGCAAACGUUGUUCGGAAUCACUGGGCGUAAAGGGUACGCAGGCGGCCUGAUAAGUUAGUGGUGAAAUCUCGGAGCUUAACUCCGAGUCUGCCAUUAAUACUGUUGGGCUAGAGUUGUAAUAGGGGUGGUAGGAAUUCCUGGUGUAGGAGUGAAAUCUGUAGAUAUCAGGAGGAACACCAAUAGCGAAGGCAAGCCACUGGGUAACAACUGACGCUCAUGUACGAAAGCUAGGGGAGCAAAUGGGAUUAGAGACCCCAGUAGUCCUAGCCGUAAACGCUGCACACUAGCUUUAUGGGGUUUAACUCUAUAUAGCACAGCAAACGCGUUAAGUGUGCCGCCUGGGGAGUAUGCACGCAAGUGUGAAACUCAAAGGAAUUGACAGGGGCUCGCACAAGCGGUGGAGCAUGUGGUUUAAUUCGAUGAUAAGCGAAAAACCUUACCUGGGCUUGAACGUGUAGUGACAUCCUGUGAAAGCAGGCUUCUCUUCGGAGCACUAUGCGAGGUGCUGCAUGGCUGUCGUCAGCCCGUGUUGUGAAAUGUUGGGUUAAGUCCCGCAACGAGCGCAACCCUUAUCCUAUGUUGCUAAUUAGACUUCGGUCUGAAGGACUCUUAGGAGACUGCCUCGGUUAACGGGGAGGAAGGUGGGGAUGACGUCAAGUCCUCAUGGCCCUUAUGUCCAGGGUUACACACGUGCUACAAUGGGGCGUACAAAGGGAAGCGAAAUCGCGAGGUUAAGCAAAUCCCAGAAAACGUCUCUCAGUUCGGAUUGUACUCUGAAACUCGAGUGCAUGAAGCUGGAAUCGCUAGUAAUCGCAGAUCAGCAUGCUGCGGUGAAUACGUUCUCGAGCCUUGUACACACCGCCCGUCACACCACCCGAGCUAAUUUUACCUGAAGUCACUGUACCAACCGCAAGGAGGAAGGUGCCGAGGGUAGGAUCGGUAAGGAGGGUGAAGUCGUAACAAGGCG